rnacentral:rRNA from 1 species
AUUGAACGCUGGCGGCAGGCCUAACACAUGCAAGUCGAGCGGAUGAAGGGAGCUUGCUCCUGGAUUCAGCGGCGGACGGGUGAGUAAUGCCUAGGAAUCUGCCUGGUAGUAGGGGAUAACGUCCGGAAACGGGCGCUAAUACCGCAUACGUCCUGAGGGAGAAAGUGGGGGAUCUUCGGACCUCACGCUAUCAGAUGAGCCUAGGUCGGAUUAGCUAGUUGGUGGGGUAAAGGCCUACCAAGGCGACGAUCCGUACUGGUCUGAGAGGAUGAUCAGUCACACUGGAACUGAGACACGGUCCAGACUCCUACGGGAGGCAGCAGUGGGGAAUAUUGGACAAUGGGCGAAAGCCUGAUCCAGCCAUGCCGCGUGUGUGAAGAAGGUCUUCGGAUUGUAAAGCACUUUAAGUUGGGAGGAAGGGCAGUAAGUUAAUACCUUGCUGUUUUGACGUUACCAACAGAAUAAGCACCGGCUAACUUCGUG